rnacentral:rRNA from 1 species
UUGGACAUCGCAACGUCCAGUAUGCCAGGAGACUUGAGCCAGUGGGUUAUGAAACUUUAUGACCCUGAAAGAUCACAGCUGGUCAUCCCGGAGAGGGGCAGGAUUCCAGUUGAUGCAGCUAAUGUUCAUAGGAUAUGGGGUCUGCCAAACAGGGGGAGGAAGGUGUGCUAUGAAAAUAGAGCAUAA